UGCUCUCCUCUAUCUCCUCUCCCUUGCCAAUCGAAGAAUCGCGUCAAACCCCUCCACUAUCUCCUCUCCUCAAUUUUGGUCCUCCCUCAGCGUGCCUCUCCCUUCCUCCUCUGCCUCCAAUUUCGAUCCACCAUAUGCUCCAAUCCCCCAUGGUGAAGGUGCGACGCCGCGAGUUCCCCUGGCCGAGCUCCUACAUAGCGGUGGUUGUGCCGCGGUUUCCACGUUAAAACUCCUCAUCUACCAGCGGCCCUCCACCUUGCUGGUUGGUCCGCCGUGUGGGUGCUCACCAUCGGCCUCGACGGUGGUCCUCCUGUGGGUGCUCCAGAUCCUGCAGCGCUGCCGCCUGCUUCUAAUCUUGGAGCGCGUCAUCCCAACCAGACCCUCCCCGCUCCACCGUUGCCGCCGUUAGCGCGCCGCCGGAGCAUCGAGGCGAUGCAGUAGCGCCUCCCCACCGUUCACGGCGGCCGGCCAGAGCUGUGGUCGUUUACGAGGCGGCCCAAGCGUCGGAUCGAGCCACCUGUCGCGGGGAUUUUUGCCGAUGGCCUCAUCGAGGUACAAGAGGUCGGGGUGUGUGGCUCCACCGGUUGUGCAGGAAGGCAGAUGAAGGGGACUGGAGACGACCAGUGGAGGAGGAUGUAGGGGGCUGUUGUGCAGUCUACGGAGGCGAGGGGCCGUGUCGGAAUUGCGAGAGGAAGAGGAGAUUAGGGGGUGGCGCCCCAGCUCGCCGUGCCAGCGCCACGACUGCUGAUUUUGCCAGGAACUGGCCACUUCCGGUGCCAGCCGUUAAGCACAGGCGCGCAGGCCCUCCCCCAUCCUUGCGUCAGCGUUCUGCUAUCCUCGCAAUGGAGGAGGUCGACGACUCUCUCUCUACUUGCAAAUUGGUUUUAUUCCAUAAUGUUUAUUGAUUGAUAUUUGUAGGCUAAUUGAUGCAAUGGCAAAUAUGUAUGCAUCUGGUUGUCGGCAGGUUGCGUCUCCCUCUAUUUUGGAAGACAUCCUCGUGCUGUUUCCUCUUCUUGCCUGGGUAGUAGACCUGUGCGCGGCCGAGCCGAAGGCUGCCUCUAACGAUGUGGUAACUGCCUCCUCUGCUACUCGUGGAUCAAUUGAUGAGUCUUUUUUUGGGUUAGAUUAGGACUGAGAGAUUUACUGACGGCUGUUCAUCUUUUGUGCAUACAUAUAUGUAGUACCAUAUGUCCAGUAAAGGGCAGAAAAUUGGCAGAAAAUUAUUACAAUGUGUCACCUGAUUCUUCCAUGUAGUGUCGAUGCAAACAUCUCUUCUACCUAUUUUCCAUUCUCAAGAGGCUUGUGAGAGCCAAAAAUAUACUGAAUUUUCAGAUGUUAUCCUGACUUAUUGAAAGGAGAUGACAAAUACCUCUUUUACUAUCUUUUUUUACUUCCCAUUCUCUCAAUUGUGCUUCUUUUUUACAUGUUAUAUGGUGACGUGCUCCUAUUUUUUCAUCUGAUGCAAGAUGUCAGCAUAGUGAAGGUACCGACAGAUAUUACUCCAUCAAAGGCGAAUCAAUACCCAAAAAGAAAUAUUCACAUGGUUGAUGUGAGGUAAAAUUUAUGAUCUGUGCACCAUAAGAUGCACCAGUAGAUACCCGUAAAAAAAAUGAACCAGCAGAUCCAGCAUUCAUCAGUACUUUCUAUAUGGGCUGACGAUACCAUUUCUCUUUUAGCUGCAACCACAUCAUCGUUACUCUAUGGGGAGAAUUUGCAGAGGCAGAAGCCUAUGAUGCUGUUUCCUUUCACAGCAGAAGUUCUGAAGAGAGUGUUGUCAUACUCCUUGUGGGCAUGGAUGUUGCUUAUUAUUCACCACCGUUAACCAAUUUGGUACAAUGUCUAUUUACUGAUAUACUACUGGUACUGCUUCAAGAAUUUUAUGUUUCAGGAAAACAUCCUUGAGACGUUGGUAUGUCAACAUACCCAUCCAGAAAUAUCCGACAUGCAAAACAGCUUCCCUUUUAUAUGAAGGCAAACAAGAUCAACAUGCAAUCACAUAUCAUUAAGUUUUGGAUUUUGAAGAGUCACAGAAGGAUUUAGUUGCACAGUUGUCUUUCAUCACAGAAUUAAUCUUCUACUUUAGUGAAGUUCAUAGAUAUGUCUGACAGAUACAUGUCUCUUAAGUGUUAACUCAUGCAAACUUUUGUUAUGGUGUAGAAGUUCACUCUUUUAAUGAAACACUGCUUUGAACUAAAGCACUUUUAGAAGUAUCUUGCUUCAUAUCCCCAUC